rnacentral:rRNA from 1 species
GGCAAGUGCGGGGUCUAUAAUGCAGUCGAGCGAACAGACGAGGAGCUUGCUCCUCUGACGUUAGCGGCGGACGGGUGAGUAACACGUGGAUAACCUACCUAUAAGACUGGGAUAACUUCGGGAAACCGGAGCUAAUACCGGAUAAUAUAUUGAACCGCAUGGUUCAAUAGUGAAAGACGGUUUUGCUGUCACUUAUAGAUGGAUCCGCGCCGCAUUAGCUAGUUGGUAAGGUAACGGCUUACCAAGGCAACGAUGCGUAGCCGACCUGAGAGGGUGAUCGGCCACACUGGAACUGAGACACGGUCCAGACUCCUACGGGAGGCAGCAGUAGGGAAUCUUCCGCAAUGGGCGAAAGCCUGACGGAGCAACGCCGCGUGAGUGAUGAAGGUCUUCGGAUCGUAAAACUCUGUUAUUAGGGAAGAACAAAUGUGUAAGUAACUAUGCACGUCUUGACGGUACCUAAUCAGAAAGCCACGGCUAACUACGUGCCAGCAGCCGCGGUAAUACGUAGGUGGCAAGCGUUAUCCGGAAUUAUUGGGCGUAAAGCGCGCGUAGGCGGUUUUUUAAGUCUGAUGUGAAAGCCCACGGCUCAACCGUGGAGGGUCAUUGGAAACUGGAAAACUUGAGUGCAGAAGAGGAAAGUGGAAUUCCAUGUGUAGCGGUGAAAUGCGCAGAGAUAUGGAGGAACACCAGUGGCGAAGGCGACUUUCUGGUCUGUAACUGACGCUGAUGUGCGAAAGCGUGGGGAUCAAACAGGAUUAGAUACCCUGGUAGUCCACGCCGUAAACGAUGAGUGCUAAGUGUUAGGGGGUUUCCGCCCCUUAGUGCUGCAGCUAACGCAUUAAGCACUCCGCCUGGGGAGUACGACCGCAAGGUUGAAACUCAAAGGAAUUGACGGGGACCCGCACAAGCGGUGGAGCAUGUGGUUUAAUUCGAAGCAACGCGAAGAACCUUACCAAAUCUUGACAUCCUCUGACUCCUCUAGAGAUAGAGUUUUCCCCUUCGGGGGACAGAGUGACAGUGGUGCAUGGUGUCGUCAGCUCGUGUCGUGAGAUGUUGGGUUAAGUCCCGCAACGAGCGCACCCUUAGCUUAGUUGCCAUCAUUAAGUGGGCACUCUAAGUGACUGCCGGUGACAAACCGGAGGAAGGGGGGGAUGAC